rnacentral:rRNA from 1 species
UACAGAGGGUGCAAGCGUUAAUCGGAAUUAUUGGGCGUAAAGAGCUCGUAGGCGGUUUGUCGCGUCUGCCGUGAAAGUCCGGGGCUUAACCCCGGAUCUGCGGUGGGUACGGGCAGACUAGAGUGCAGUAGGGGAGACUGGAAUUCCUGGUGUAGCGGUGAAAUGCGCAGAUAUCAGGAGGAACACCGAUGGCGAAGGCAGGUCUCUGGGCUGUAACUGACGCUGAGGAGCGAAAGCAUGGGGAGCGAACAGG